rnacentral:rRNA from 1 species
CAACGAGCGCAACCCUUGCCUUUAGUUGCCAGCAGUUCGGCUGGGCACUCUAAAGGGACUGCCGGUGUUAAACCGGAGGAAGUGGGGAUGACGUCAAGUCCUCAUGGCCUUUAUGACCAGGGCUACACACGUACUACAAUGGCCGAUCAAAGGGCAGCGACACUGCGAGGUGAAGCCAAUCCCGUAAAAUCGGUCUCAGUCCGGAUUGGAGUCUGCAACUCGACUCCAUGAAGUUGGAAUCGCUAGUAAUCGUGGAUCAGCAUGCCACGGUGAAUACGUUCCCGGGCCUU